rnacentral:tRNA from 1 species
CUUAAGUGGAGUAAAGAAGUAAAAUUACAAUUAAUUUCGACUUAAUUUUAAGGAUAAUCCUCAUACUGAAUU